rnacentral:rRNA from 1 species
CGAAUCUUCCGCAAUGCGCGAAAGCGUGACGGAGCAAUGCCGCGUGCAGGAUGAAGCCCCUCGGGGUGUAAACUGCUGUCAGAGUUCAGCAACACAAUGAGCAGACUCAAAGGAAGGGCCGGCUAACUUCGUGCCAGCAGCCGCGGUAAUACGAAGGGCCCGAGCGUUGCGCGGAAUCAUUGGGCUUAAAGCGGGCGUAGGCGGGCGUGCAAGCACCUUGUGAAAUCCCUCGGCUCAACCGAGGAACUGCUUGGUGAACUGCACGUCUUGAGGCAAGUAGGGGCUGUCGGAACGAUAGGUGGAGCGGUGAAAUGCGUUGAUAUCUAUCGGAACGCCGAAGGCGAAGGCAGGCAGCUGGGCUUGAUCUGACGCUCAGGCACGAAAGCGUGGGGAGCG